UGGGGAAUAUUGCGCAAUGGGGGGAACCCUGACGCAGCCAUGCUGCGUGAAUGAAGAAGGCCUUAGGGUUGUAAAGUUCUUUCGGUAUUGAGGAAGGUUGAUGUGUUAAUAGCACAUCAAAUUGACGUUAAAUACAGAAGAAGCACCGGCUAACUCCGUGCCAGCAGCCGCGGUAAUACGGAGGGUGCGAGCGUUAAUCGGAAUAACUGGGCGUAAAGGGCACGCAGGCGGUUAUUUAAGUGAGGUGUGAAAGCCCCGGGCUUAACCUGGGAAUUGCAUUUCAGACUGGGUAACUAGAGUACUUUAGGGAGGGGUAGAAUUCCACGUGUAGCGGUGAAAUGCGUAGAGAUGUGGAGGAAUACCGAAGGCGAAGGCAGCCCCUUGGGAAUGUACUGACGCUCAUGUGCGAAAGCGUGGGGAGCAAACAGGAUUAGAUACCCUGGUAGUCCACGCUGUAAACGCUGUCGAUUUGGGGGUUGGGGUUUAACUCUGGCGCCCGUAGCUAACGUGAUAAAUCGACCGCCUGGGGAGUACGGCCGCAAGGUUA
rnacentral:rRNA from 1 species